UCAAUGUAGUCGGAAUCGCGCCAAAAAGUUAGUGCAACGAUGUCAACUUGCAGACGCAAUUUCGACCACCGGUGGUCCAAUGACGAUGGGCUACCUAUCGUUGAAAAUCUCAUUUAAUGUAAAAUACAUUAAUUAUAAUCUGAUUUCAUGACAAUCGGUCAUCGUUUCAUAUGUAAUUUCGAUAAAAAAGAGCUAAUAUCAUAAUUUUGGUGUGAUUGUGGCUAUAAUUAAACAUUUUCUCAAACAUUUCCCUCAAUUUAUAUAUCCCAAAAGUUGUUUGCCAUCUUCUCAUGCACCAUGCCUCCACUUCCACUUCUUCACAACUUCCACCGCGAUCCUUUUCGCGCCGCAGCUAUCGGAAUCUCCACCGACACCAUCACGACUGCUAAAUUUAUUCAAUUUCAGUUCAGCUCUCCUCUCAAUUUCCGCGGCAAAGCUUUGAUAGCAACGGCUGUUUCCGGACGCGUGAACGGCGAUCAUCCGUCUACAGUUGCAUUUUCGUGAGUGCUAGUAAUAAUAACUAUAGGUUGAUGCAGGACAAAUCCUCUCUGGAGGGAGCUGCCUCGGUAAUGUCACUGCUGGAAUCUUUUUCUGAUUCUGGGUCCUUGUUGACAAUUUCAUCUACACAUCUUGGAGAACUCAAAAAUCUUAAGUGCAGGUUUGAAAUGUUAUGCUGUUGGCCCAGUGAGAUGUUAUGCUGAAUUUUGGUUCUGAUACAGACUGCUAUUAGAUUUUGGUAGUUUUCAUCUUGCUCCUAUGGUCGCUUAUUUCUCUACUCUAACCAUCUUGUUUUGGUUGUAUUAAAGUAUCUGGUAUCCACUGCUAAUUCUUAUUCUUGCCUUGUACAUUACAUCCUGAAUCCCUUUGCUAGACUUGAUUUGUCUCUAUUUUAGGAUGGUCAAAUGCAACCUAUAUUGCUGAGAGGCUUGGACUGCCUGUUGAAUUUUUUAUUCUGGAAAUAUGGUACUUCCUAGUGUAGUUUAUUUUAUUUUUAAAUAUUAAUAUCUAUCUAUUUUUUGUAGCUUCUUUAAUAGAUACACCAAUGCGUCUAUACGAAUGGUUAGCUUGUUUUUUUGGCAUAAAAUGCACAUGUUUUGGCUAUACCUCUUUCAUAUAUCUAGUUCAGUAAAGAGCUUCAGCAAAUACGAAACAGAAAGUAUGUUUUCAGGAAUUGGAGUCCCCUUUCUAUCAAACCCUCAAACUGAAUUCAUAUAGAACUGAUAUACUAACUUUUACCUUAAUUUGAUUUAUUUAUCCCCAACUUUACAGGUAUUCAGAUAGAAAAAUCUAACAGCGUCAUUUUGCUGAAUUCCUCAGCAAAUGUUUACACGGAGAUCUAAUUUCAUGUGUCAUGGGGUUGUAUGAUUUCACACACUCUCGAAUUUGCUUCGAAAUUUAAGAAGGGAACUUACUACAUCUCUCAUUGAGGGCCUGAUAUCUGGAUUCAUUUCAGUGCAUUGUAAAGCAAGAUCCACCAUCACCAGUGCUUCUUGCCUUUCCUCGCUCUCCCAGUACUUGAUUUCUUCAUCGAAGAAACCAAAGUGAUGGUUGUAACCAUGUAGUGUCGUCCUUACCCACGAGACAAUGUCUAAGCCCUCAUCAAAACUGGGAUCCACUGGUAAUUUUCUGCAAAGAAGCUCUAGCAGAAUUACUCCGUAGCUGUAUACAUCACAUUUAUCCGUCAACUUUGUUGCGUAUGCAUUCUCUGAAAUGGAAAAGUAGUAAGACCUUGUGAGGUUAGAUUCUUGACAAUAAGUUUUGAUUUCAAGCAUAUUAAAAUUUUAGAUGCUACAUGAGUUGAAUUAGAGCAGGUGCAUUAUGUAUCAUUUACAUGCAUAUAUAGACAUCUCAAUCCGAAAUUUUCACUUGUUGGAAUCCACAGAUUGUAGUAUAGACAAGCUGAAACGUAAAUAUUAGCUGAUGCAUACCUGGUGCUAUAUAGCCAAGUGUUCCAACAAUUACAGAAGCUGUUUGGUCUUCAUCGACAUCGGAAUCCAAUUUUGCUGCCCCGAAAUCUCCAAUCUUCGGUUCAAAAUCAGAAUCCAACAGUAUGUUGUCUGUCUUUAUGUCUCUGUGAAUGAUUGGAGGCACACAGUCAUGGUGAAGAUACGACAAACCUUGAGCUAUUCCAAGAGCGAUACGACAUCGCUGCUCCCAGGUCAAAGCUACCCGAGUGCCUGAUGAGGAGAUGAUGGGGUACGGUGCCAAAAUCGAGUUACUAGCGCGUACAUGGCAGCAAGAAGGCAUGCUGUCAAGAAAAAUGAUCCGGUUAUUAUACCAGCAAGGACUAAGCCUUCUGGAUGUGAUUUCUUGUGACUUCCACAGUGGCCACUUUUUGUGGAUGCUGAGCAGAGUCUUGGAUUUCCGAGAGAUGUUCCGGGAUGCGACUCCAAUGCCUUCGCCCAAACAGCUGGAAUUUGGCCUGCGAGUUGAUUAUACGAUAUGUUCAGAAAAAAAAGUGAUCUCAUAUUGUCUGUGGCUGAUGGUAUCUCGCCUGAGAAAUUGUUGCUUGAGAUAUCAAGAAUCUCCAACAUAUCAAGAUCGCCAAUGCAUCUGGGUAUUUCCCCAGAAAUCUUGUUUGUACUGAGGUUCAGAUAAUUGAAGUUUUCGAUUCUACUCAGACUGCAAGGAAAAGGACCCUCAAGCAAAUUGUUCCCAAGCUGCAGCUCUAGCAGUUUUUGGCUACUCACAAAAGCGUCAGGAAUCACGGCGGUCAAUUUGUUGUCUUGAAGCCGAAUGAUUGCCAGUGUUGAUGAAGAAAGGAUCUCAGAUGGGACACCUCCCGCAAGUUCAUUCUUGCUGAGGUCUAGUUUGUCUAUUCUUGGACAACGACUCAGCUCGGGAGGAAUUUCUCCUGUCAGUCUGUUUGAAGAAACAUUCAUUUCUACAAGAUUUUGAAGCUCCCCAAAUUCCUGAGGUAUUGAGCCUGAAAACUUAUUCUCUGAAAGAUCAAUCAAUGAAAGAUUGCUCCAGGAACCAAAUGCUGUUGGGAUGGUUCCUUCAAAUAAGUUUCCUCGAAUAUCAAAAUGUGCAAUGCUCGAAGAAUUUCCUAUGUCAUUCGGUAUGCUACCUUCCAAACGAUUGUUGUAGAGAAACAACCUGUACAGAGACUUACAUUUGAUAAUUUCUGUGGGGAAACCACCAGUAAAUUUGUUGUCACCAAGGGUGAAACGCAGAAGGCGGUUGCCAGAACAUGCAGCACCUGGAAUUUCUCCCGUAAACUGAUUUCCUGUAAGAUCCAAAAUACCUAAACCGGGAACAUUAUUCUUGCCCAAAUCUGAUGGAAUCUCCCCUUCAAAGUUGUUUUGAGCCAAAACAAGAUCUGUAAGGUUUGUCAACUUGGUAAUUCCAGCCGGUAUUCUUCCUGUCAUUCUAUUACUGUAGAUGCUGAACACUUUAAGAGAGAGCAAUCUGUCAAUACACUGUGGUAUAGGACCCUCAAUCUGAUUGUAAUUCAGCAUGAGAAUCUCUAAACUCCGGAGACCACAAAUCUCAGGAGGAAGAAUUCCACUGAUUUCGUUAAAACGAAAUGCAACUUCGACCAGAGAAGUGCAGUUUCCUAUUCCUGAAGGUAUAGGACCACUGAGCGUAUUAUUAUAGAGAUACAUGAAUACCAAGUUCUUAAGAUAAGAAACCGAAGCUGGAAUAGGACCAGUCAAGGUGUUGAGAGAUAAGUCGAGGCGAGUAAGCUUUUCGCAUUGCUUGAUUUCUUCAGGAAUGCUCCCAUUGAACCUGUUUCCCCCAAGUACAAGCCUUGUUAAAUUCCUGAGACUCCACAGGGACAUAGGAAUUUGCCCUUCAAAGUUGUUUCCAGCAAGGUACAGUCUUCUAAGUUGUGUCAGGCCCUUGAAGAUAUCCUGCUCUAUUACUCCUCCAAGAUGGUUAAAAGAUGCAUUGAGAACUUGGAGAUCAUGACAGUUGCGUAUGGAAGGUGGCAAGGGGCCAUGGAAUGAAUUUUCAGGCAGUUGGAGUUCAACAAGCGAGCAUGCCGAUGGAAAAUCAGGCAAGGUGGAAUCGUGCCAGAUAGUUUGUUGCGGCCCAGGUCGAGCCGUUGAAGCUGCCCCGGUCUGAAAACAUCAGGUGGAAUUGGCCCAGACAGGUUAUUGUUGUAGAGGAAAACCUCAAUGAGCUGACCGCAGUUUCCAACCACUGCAGGAACGCUUCCACUGAAAUUGUUGGCGCUGAGAUCAACAGUGAUGAGAUCAGAAAUCUGACACAAAUAUGGAAACGAAUCCUCUAGAACCCCGGUGAGGCCGAGUUGAGGAGAGAUCUUGAAGUCUCCGGCAGACUGUUUCGAAAUCGGAGAAGCUGCAGCGCAGCUGGAGGCUGCGAAGCAGAUGGGAUCGGGACAAGAAGCAGAAUAUACCCAAGAAACAGAACAAACAUUUUGGUAAG